CGCAACUACUCCAUACACGUAACUACGUAAACAGGAAGAGUUGUUGCAGCGACGCGUCGCCAUGAAAGUGUUGUUCAAAAUGAUUGCGCGCACAAUACAAAGUGUACUCUUUUGUAACUUGUUUUAGAACAGUGGUCAUUUUACGAUUCUCUGAUGGAAAGAUGCAAUGAGGAUGAGAAGCUGAAUGCCCCGUCCGAUUUUGUGGCAUCAAAGGGUAGUCAGAGGACCCUGAUGCCCCCAUCCCAUUUCACCGCAAGCACCCAGUCUGCCUCUAUCAUAGUACCAGGGACUGUAACGGGACGAGGGACAACACCAAUAAAAUGGGUCACCCAUGCCACAACACCCCCAUCGGACUCUGGCCCUGCCAACCCAUGGCUCACCAUGGCUCAGGCCAAACAGGAAAUUUUAGAACUACACAGAGAAAACCAGAGGAUUCUGAUGUUACAGGGAGACCGCUCCAGAGGAACGAAGUCAACAGAGGAUUCUGCCCACUCCAUAGCAAGGUCUGGAGCGAGAGGUGAGCAGGCCUCCAGGUGGGAGACAGAAUGGAGACUGGACACAGAGCGUUUCAGGGCAGAGUCAGAGAGGCUGAAAGGCCAGGUAGAAGCACUGAAGGAAGUUGCAGGGAGACAGAGAGAGGAGAUGAGGGACAAAGAAACUUAUCUGAACAGGCAGAGUCAUGAAGUGGAGGCGAUGCGGGAGGAGUUAUAUAAGACUAAGACUGAGCUCAGCCAAGUCAGUGUGGAGCUGGUCCAAAAGAGAGAGGACAAAGAGAGACUCAGCACCCAGCUGGAGAUGCUGGAGAGGAAGUCUGGGGAGGAGGCUGAGAGGCUGAGGAGUGAGGUGGAGAGGAGCGGACAGGAAACCCACAGGCUGACCAGGGAGGCUGAUACAGCCAGGCUGCAGGCUGGGGAAGAGGCCAAGCAGGAGUUGCAGAAACUAAAUAAGCAACUGGAGGAAUCCUACAGGAGACAUGAAAUACAGUUGCAGCAGUUGACUGCCACCCAUGACACUGAAUUGUCCAGAGUCAGACAGGCGAGCUCUGAGGUGCAGGAGAGGUUAUGUCACCUGUCCCAGGAGGUGACUCAUCUGAAGUGCUGUCUACUGGAAGUGUCUGCAGAGAGAGAUGGACUGAAAGAACAACUAAGCCAAAUGGGCAAUGCUUUUGAGACCCAGUCAGCAACGUUGCAGAGUCUUAGAAACUACAUUGGACAACUUACCCCUGAGAGAGGGUUGGAAGAGAAACUAACUGAAACCAUUCAGACACUGAAUAGGGAGAAGGAGGCUCUGCAGGUGACAACAGAGCUUCUGACGGUCAGACUCAACUCUGUGAACGACAUAUUGGCCCUACAAGAGGAGGAGAUGGUAGAGAAGACUCUGUCAGACCCUCUCCUGAAAGCUGGGCCCAAAGGCACUCGGGUUCUGCGUUGCUGGAGAGAGAAGGUCUUCAUGUUGUUGGUCCAGCUUCGCUCAAGGGAUAUCGAACUGAGGGGAGAAAAGGAUAAACUUCACUCAACCAUCUCGUCUCUGGAGCAGGAGGUGAAGAAGGAGAAGUACCAGUCCAAUGUGUUCCAGCACAGCCUGCAGGACAGAACAGCUGAGCUGGAGCUGGAGAGGGUGGCUAGGGAGGCCGUGGAGCAGGACGUGCUUACGACUAAGAGGGAGAACACAGAGCUGAAGAGCUGGAGUCAGGAGGCAGAGGCUGGACUGAGGACCAUGACAGAGGAUGCCCAGCGAUUCAGUCAGGCAUUUGAGGCUAAGAUGUCAGAGGUGGAGACUGUCCAAACACGUCUGAACAGCUUUGGCCAGAGGCUGACCUUUGCCAAAAGAAGAGUGGACACAAUUCAAGGUCUAAUGAUGAGGAAGGAGGCCCUACGGAGAGUGCAGCAGGCCACUAAAGCAGCCAACCCGGUCUCUGAGCGUGCCGCUGUCACAGAGCUCCAGGCAGAGCUGGCCUCGGCGUGUGAGGAGAGAGACAAGCUCAGGCAGGAGCUCAAGAGAACCCCCGAGCUCAUUGAGAGUGCCCUGGCUGAUGUCCGUGAACAGUUUGACAGUGAAGUGAGGCAGCUGAGGCAGGCUGCAGAGCGAAGCAGGGGGGAAGCCCAGGAGGCCCAGGCAGCCAGAGAGGAGGCCCAGCAGAGGCUGCAGGAGGCCCACACACAGCUAGAGGAGAGCAACCUCAACCUAGAGCAGAUCCAUGCACAGCUGAUCAGCCAAAAGGAGGACAGUGACAGAGCUCUGCAGGAGAGAGUGUCUGAGACAGAGGAUCACUGUGCUCAGCAGCUUAGAGUGAUGGAAUCUCAACUCAACACGGCCAGAAGAGAACACACCAAAGCAGUGGUAGCCCUGCGUCAGUUUGAGAGACAGGCAGAGAGAGAGAGGGAGCAGGAGAGAGAAGCACAAUGCCUUCAGAGUGAACACACCAAGAGAGAAAUCCAGGAUCUACAGAAACUACUGCAAGAAAAGGACAAGGACAGAAACCUACUUUUGGUGACUGUACGUGAGAGGGGGCUGAUGAGUGAGUAUAAGGCAGCUCGGACCACAGCCCAGCAGACUUCUGUGGCCUUGGAGGAGCAGCAGCAGAGACCCUCAAGGAAGAGCAACACUCUGAGAGCCAAAAACCAGCCACAGACCAGAGACUCGCUACUGUCAGUGCUUGGGGACCUUCGGACUCUGAGUGCUGCAGUGGUCCACAGCUCAGAAGACGAUGCAGAGGAGGAGGGACAUGGGGACAGGGUACGGUAUUCCAGAACCAGAGGGGACGACUCACUAAAAUGACGGUCCACAAUAAGUACUAAGAACUUUUUUUGAGAUUUGAACUUUUCAAGUCUCAAAUCUUCGUUUUUUUUAUACACUCUUCAUGACUAAUUGACAUUUCAUUACGUAUGUAACUCAGACUCCAUGUUGAUGGUAUUAUGUGGGUGGAUGAUUUAGUGAUUUCUUAAUGUCUAUAAAAUGGCCCUGUUGACACAACAGCAAUGUUCCCAGUUUGAAAAUGCAUGGGAUUGUUUAAGAUUUCAUGGAUCUACUUAAUGUUAAUUGACCUUUGGCUGACAGGCUCUGGCCGGAGGAGAAGCUCACUGACUGUGAUGAGUUCAUAUAAGCACUAGCUGGGUAACGGAGUGAUCAAUUGGCUCCAGAAAAACAAUCUGGACUGCAGCAGAGGAAAUGACACAGAACAUCUUUACAGUUUCAUGCAAUUUAUGCAGCACUAAUUGGGACUGAGGCUGUCCAUGCCAACAACAAACUCAAUCGGGCAUAUCCAUCAGAGGCACAAUACAAACCCUGGUGUUGGAAGUGCUAAGAUAACCAAGCUAUCUGUACAGUAUUGAAUAUCUCAGUGUCCUCAUCAGACCCCAGCAGCUCUAAGGCAUUGUAUUGUUUGGUGCAGAGAGGACCCCUGACGUGAUGUUUAUCCUAUGCAGUUAGGGGUGCCAUUUUCCAUUCCAAUGUCCUCUCUCUGUCAGGUUAAUGUGAUCACAGAGUAUGUUUAACUACGGCUCACUGACACUAGUUACUUUGAUUCAUGUAUUGGUGAUGUCGUGUUCAUACACAGAUUGACAUGAAUGUUCUCUUUCUCUACAUGUUAGCACUAUAAUGAUGAACAUUUCUGUCAUGAUCAAUGUGGGAUCGCUGAUUAGGCCUAUAUCUCUGGAGGACUACUCAAUCCAUCUGAUUUAGUGGGAUGCCAAUAAAUAUCUUUGGAUGGAGGCAAAUACUAACACUAAACUCUAUGUACUGAUCUAUAGUAUAGUUUAAUUGAUAAACACAAGUACGCUAGAUUCAACUAUUCUAUUUCACAUGCACAUUACCACCUGCAGAAACAUUUUC